CAGAAACUCAAAUGAAUGACGGGGCCGCACAGCGGAGGAGCAUGUGGUUUAAUUCGAUGAUACGCGAGGAACCUUACCUGGGCUCGAACGUAAGAUGACUGUAGGUGAAAGCUUACAUCUCUUCGGAGCAUUUUACGAGGUGCUGCAUGGUUGUCGUCAGCUCGUGCCGUGAGGUGUCGGGUUAAGCCCGCAACGAGCGCAACCCCUGCUGCCAGUUGCCAACGGGUGAAGCCGGGCACUCUGGCGGGACUGCCAUCGACAAGAUGGAGGAAGGUGGGGAUGACGUCAAGUCAUCAUGGCCCUUAUGUCCAGGGCGACACACGUGCUACAAUGGCCGGCACAACGGGAAGCGAGUUCGCGAGGACGAGCGGAUCCCUCAAAAGCCGGUCGCAGUUCGGAUUGAAGUCUGCAACUCGACUUCAUGAAGCUGGAAUCGCUAGUAAUCGUGGAUCAGCCAAGCCGCGGUGAAUACGUUCCCGGGCCUU
rnacentral:rRNA from 1 species